rnacentral:tRNA from 17 species
AGGAAGUGGUGUAGUGGGAGCACUAAGA